GCUAUGGUUUCAUUAGGUUUAGCUUUAGGAAUAGUGUUAGAGUUACUGCUAAAGGCAGGGCUAGGCUUCCACUGACAUUAGAUUUAGGGUUAGGAUUAAGGCUAGCUUGUGUUUUCCACCAUGAUUAGAAUAGGAUUUGCUUUGGUGGUCAGGCUAGGAUUAGUUUACUUCUAGGAUUAAGUUUAGGUUUUGGAUUAGGUUUAUAGAAUUCCUUGAGGGAUAUUGUUAGAUUUAGACCUAGGAUUCAGCAGAAUUGCAGGGUUAGUGUUCCAGCAUGGUUAGGGUUAAGUUUAAAGUUUAAGGCUAAGGUUAGGGUUAAGUUUAGGGCUCCGGCUAUGCAAGGGCUAGGGCUAGUGUUCCAUCUGGGUUUGUAUAAGGGCUAGGGUUAGGUUAUGUUUAGAAUUAGUGUUAGUGUUCCUCCAGGUUUUGUUUAGGAUCAGGGUGAGUGUGAGUGUUAUGGCUAGGUCUAUGCCUAAGCCAAUGUCUAGUGAUAAGGCUCCUGUUAGGGGUAGAACCAGCUUUAGUGUUUCAUUUCAGGUUAUGUUUCUGCCGAGGGUAGGCGUAGAUUUAGGCUUAAGCUUAGAUUUAUGUUGAAGGUUAUGGUUAGGGCUUGGGUAGGGCCUUUCUUCAAAUAGGGUUAGCCUGAAGUCUAUGGUUAGGGUUAGAGUUACCAUUAGAUCUUCACCAAGGUUAGAGUUGUUAAGGUAAGUUAGGGUUAGAUUCAGGGCUAGUGCUAGUACUAAGGCUAGGGCCAGUGUUACAAGGUUAGUGUUUUUGGUUAUGGUAGGUUUAAGAUUAGAGCUAAGUCCAGGUCUGGGGCUAGAGUUCGGGCUUACAAUGGGGAUUUGGCUAUGGUAGGGCUAGGUUUACACUAUGGUUAGGGUUAGAUUUAUGUUUAGAGUUAGGGAUCCACCAUAGGUAAGUCAGAUUUAUUUAUGUUAGGGUUAGGGGUAGUGAUAUGGCUACACUUUUUAAUGCUAGGGCUAGGGCUAUGGUUAGAGUCCCACUAGUUUUAGGGCUAUAUUUAGGGUUAGGCUUUGGGCUAAGGUUAGGAAUAAGGCAAAGGGCAUGACUAGGGUGAAAGCUAGGACUAGGUCUAGGUUCCAUGAUUAGGGUUAAGUUUACAUUUAGGGUUAUUUGUAGGUUUGGUUUAGGUUUAGGCUUAGGUUCCCCCAACAGGUUCAAGUUAGGGUUAGGGUUAAAGUUGAGGUGAGGUCCCAGCCCAGGACUGACUUUACCGACCUGCUGCCACUGCUACUGCCAGUGUCCUGUGCACAUUAGGCCAGGGGAAGACCCAGUGUGGGACAGGCAAGCCUGAGUAUCUUGCCCCAGCCACUACCACCACCAGCACCAGAGGCCUGCAUGUGCCCUGCCAGGGAGGACCAGCUCAGAGCAACUGACCUGAUCACCCCACCCUCAGCCAAUGUUGCCGGGGCCUACUCCUGGAGUCUCCUCAGCACAGGGCAGCAUAAAUGACAGUCAGCAGACUCACCUGACUGAAGAAGAGACCAAGACCCAGAGGGAGAAUUUUGCUUCAGUACUGAAUGGUUACUGUGCCACAGACACAGAUUUCCUGGGGACCAGAAAAAGUUAAAAAAAAACUGGAUAUACCCUCACAGGAACAUACGAAGACAAGACAACAGAAGAUCCUGAAAGUGUUCUAAGUCUCCUAAGGCAAAUGAAAGGGACACAAUUGGAGAGGAAGCAAGUGCCAGGUAGCAGAACCCUACGCAAUGUUUGUAGAAAAGAUGAAAACAAUAGAUGAGCUCCAAGAGGAAAUGAACCAAAAGUUCACUGAAUAUCACUCAAACUGUCCAAAGUGGAUAAGCGAGACAUAGGUAAAAAAUUGGAAGAGUUGACCAAAUUAGUUCAAAUCAUGAAUGACAAAUUCACCAAAGAUUUAGCAUCCUCAAAUGAUGUCAGACAGAUAAAUCUGAAAUAAAACCUGUAUAGAA